UACGGAGGGGGCUAGCGUUGUUCGGAAUUACUGGGCGUAAAGCGCACGUAGGCGGCUUUGUAAGUUAGAGGUGAAAGCCCGGGGCUCAACCUCGGAAUUGCCUUCAAUACUGGCUGUCUUGAGUACGGGAGAGGUGUGUGGAACUCCGAGUGUAGAGGUGAAAUUCGUAGAUAUUCGGAAGAACACCAGUGGCGAAGGCGACACACUGGCCCGUUACUGACGCUGAGGCGCGAAAGCGUGGGGAGCAAACAGG
rnacentral:rRNA from 1 species